rnacentral:rRNA from 1 species
AUACGUAGGGGGCAAGCGUUAUCCGGAUUCACUGGGUGUAAAGGGAGUGUAGACGGUGGCGAAAGUCUGAUGUGAAAACCCGCGGCUCAACUGCGGGAUUGCAUUGGAAACUUCGUGACUUGAGUACUGGAGGGGCAGGGGGAAUUCCCGGGUGAGCGGUGGAAUGCGUAGAUCACAGGAGGAACACCGGUGACGAAGGCGGCCUGCUGGACAGUAACUGACGUUGAGGCUCGAAAGCGUGGGGAGCAAACAGGAUUAGAUACCCUGGUAGUCCACGCCGUAAACGAUGCAUACCAGGUGUUGGCGGGCAAGGCCCGUCAGUGCCACAGCAAACGCAUUAAGUAUGCCGCCUGGGGAGUACGUUCGCAAGAAUGAAACUCAAAUGAAUUGACGGGG